rnacentral:rRNA from 1 species
UACGAAGGGGGCUAGCGUUGCUCGGAAUGACUGGGCGUAAAGGGCUCGUAGGCGGCCAACUAAGUCAGACGUGAAAUCCCUCGGCUUAACCGGGGAACUGCGUCUGAUACUGGAUGGCUUGAGUUUGGGAGAGGGAUGCGGAAUUCCAGGUGUAGCGGUGAAAUGCGUAGAUAUCUGGAGGAACACCGGUGGCGAAGGCGGCAUCCUGGACCAACACUGACGCUGAUGAGCGAAAGCCAGGGGAGCAAACGGG